AUUGAACGCUGGCGGCAGGCCUAACACAUGCAAGUCGAGCGGUAACAGGGAGUAGCUUGCUACUCCGCUGACGAGCGGCGGACGGGUGAGUAAUGUCUGGGGAUCUGCCUGAUGGAGGGGGAUAACUACUGGAAACGGUAGCUAAUACCGCAUAACGUCGCAAGACCAAAGAGGGGGACCUUCGGGCCUCUUGCCAUCGGAUGAACCCAGAUGGGAUUAGCUAGUAGGUGGGGUAAUGGCUCACCUAGGCGACGAUCCCUAGCUGGUCUGAGAGGAUGACCAGCCACACUGGAACUGAGACACGGUCCAGACUCCUACGGGAGGCAGCAGUGGGGAAUAUUGCACAAUGGGCGCAAGCCUGAUGCAGCCAUGCCGCGUGUGUGAAGAAGGCCUUCGGGUUGUAAAGCACUUUCAGCGAGGAGGAAGGCAUUAAGGUUAAUAACCUUGGUGAUUGACGUUACUCGCAGAAGAAGCACCGGCUAACUCCGUGCCAGCAGCCGCGGUAAUACGGAGGGUGCAAGCGUUAAUCGGAAUUACUGGGCGUAAAGCGCACGCAGGCGGUUUGUUAAGUCGGAUGUGAAAUCCCCGGGCUCAACCUGGGAACUGCAUUCGAAACUGGCAAGCUUGAGUCUUGUAGAGGGGGGUAGAAUUCCAGGUGUAGCGGUGAAAUGCGUAGAGAUCUGGAGGAAUACCGGUGGCGAAGGCGGCCCCCUGGACAAAGACUGAC
rnacentral:rRNA from 1 species